UGGUGCGGUCAUACCAGCGCUAGUACACCAAAUCCCAUCAGAACUCCGCAGUUAAGCGCAUUUGGGCCAGAACAGUACUGGGAUGGGUGACCU
rnacentral:rRNA from 1 species